AUAUAUUCCCCCUUAAAUGUAUACAAAGAAAAAAAGCACUGUAAAAUACUAUAAAAUGUUAUCGUGACACAUAAACUUUCAGAAUCAUUCAAUAAUAAGCAACAAUAAAAUAAAAUAAACCUUUAAAACUUAAUCAGCCAAUCUUGAGGGUCCUCUCUUUGGCUCUUCUCAUUUGCUUGCUCUGAUAAAUCAAGUUGAUAUGAUAUGAGUUGCUUCAUGGAGAGGGCAGAAGGUAUAGGACUGAAUCCUGCCAUAAAAUUAUGUAAAGGAGCUUGGAUACAGACCCUUCCCUACUGGAGCCUUGAGAUGAGACCAUAGCUCCAGCCAACUCCAUGACUGCAGCCCUCUGACAGAUCCUAAGUCAAAAGAUCCUGCUGAACCACAUCCAUACACUUGACCUACACAAGCCAUGAGAUAGUAAAUGUUGUGGGUUCAAGUCACCACAUUUUGGGAUGAUUUGUUAUGCAGCGAUAGAUAUCUAAUACAAUCUCUAUCUUUAUAUUAUUCAGGAAGUCAUUAAAGAAGCAACCCAUGGCAAAACUAGUUAUUUUCUUAAAACAGUAGGAAGAAGAAAAGCUUUUUGAAUGAAUCACUUCUCAUCUUCUCCGAAGUUGGAAGCAUCAAGAAUCUAAAUAAGCAUUUAUGAUGGCUGGCAUGAAUAUGUGAGUAAAUACCUGAAAAACUGGCCAGAAGUGUUUUUUUUUUUUAAUGAGAUUAAUCUCGCUUUGAUGGAAUUUCAUUCAGAUUAUCAAAAGAAAAUGAAAUAUUUUUAGCAAAGUAGAUGACUGGGAAGAAUUAGGAGAGUAAAUGGGGAAAGUGCUCUGUAUUAGCAGAUCUGCCUGGGACAGGCCUCCUAAGCAGGGUUUCCUCUUCAGCUUCCAUCCUUUUUUUUGGUUUGGUUUGGUUUGAUUUAGUUUUUAUUUUGCUUUUUGCUCUUUACUUCUGAAAACACAUUAUUUUUCAAGAGGAUAUAUUAGAUUUCUUUCUUUCUUUCUUUCUUUCUUUCUUUUGAGACGGGACUGUAGGCACAUGCCACCACGCACGUCCGGCUAAUUUUUUGUAUUUUUAGUAGAGACGGGUUUCGCCGUGUUAGCCAGGAUGGUCUCGGUCUCCUGACCUCGUGAUCUAACUGCUCCGGCCUCCCAAAGUCCUGGGAUUACAGGCAUGAGCUGCCGCGCCCGGCCCAUCAGUUUUCUUUGUAUAGCUCUGAACACUAUAACAACCAGGAGUCCCUCUGAUUGAAGAUGUGAGUGUGCUUGCGUGUUAGCUUAGUGGUGUCUGUAUUGGGGUGUUGGUAUGGGAAGUUCCUAAAGCAAGCAUGAUAGCUACAAUGUAAAAGGCACACUGUUGUUAUAUAUUUUCUCAGUGAGGUGAAAAUGUGCAUUCUUCUAUUUCCUUUCCCAUGUAACAUUAUGUGCCACUGAAAUACCCAUUAACAGUUGCUAUAGGUUUA
rnacentral:lncRNA from 1 species